rnacentral:tRNA from 47 species
GGGGAUGUAGCUCAGCUGGGAGAGCAUCACGUUCGCAACGUGGGGGUCGUGGGUUCGAAUCCCAUCAUCUCCACCA